rnacentral:snRNA from 1 species
GUGCUCGCCUUGGCANCACAAAUACUAAAUUGGAAUGAUCUAGAGAUGAUUAGUCUGGCCCCUGUGCAAAGAUAACGUACAAAUUUCUGAAGUGUUCCAUGUUUUU